UCCCUAAUAGCUCAGUAUGUAAAGAAUCUGUCUGCAAUGCAGGAGACCUGGGUUUGAUCCCCAGGUAGGGAA
rfam:Ovis aries breed Texel chromosome 16, whole genome shotgun sequence.